AAUCAUGCUCCUCUAGUACUCCAGCCACGGGCCGGGCCAACUGUGUCGGAGCGACGAACCGUACCCCAAGUUGGGCUAGACUCAGAUUACCUGGUCCCAUGCGACGAGCCCAUGUCCAGCCAGCGGUUGCCGGUUGUGACCGUCGUCGUUGGAAGGCGACGCGAAGCGGCAGUGCAGUGCUCGUCUUCGUCGGCGCGUCGCCGUCCGGAGGGCGGAGGCCAAAGCUUGUACUUGUCUUCGGCGGAGGGGAUUCUGAAAUCGAGGUGCGCAACUAGGAGAGCCAGUUGCCACGGUUGCGCUUUUGCUCAUCAUCGGAGGCGGUUGAAGUGUCGAUGUUUCUGUGCCUUCCUGGGGGUAUUCUGGAGGAUCAUAGCUGACAACUGCUUGUGAUUGCAAACACAGCCAAACUUGUCGGCAUUAGGACCCUUGGUGGAUGAAUGGGGUCUGCAUUAGAAAGUCAAGGAGAACAGGGCUCUUGCACUGGGGGCACCGAGGGUCAUCUUGUGGGAGCAUGACGUAGAUGAAGCAGCGAGGACAGGCAGCAAGAACCAUGGAUGUGGCCUCAGGGCUGUUGGACCACUGCAGGCCAUGCUCGUUCUCUGACGAUAGGCAGGAGCUCGGGGAUGACUCCUCAUCAGCCAUCGCCCUCCUGGAGGAGUCCCCUGUUGCAGGAAGUGAGAGGUUCAGUUUCAGGUCAAGGCCCCUAGAGCUCUUCCUGUUGCUGCGGCUCAUCCUUUGGAGGUAUGUGCUGUCUGCAUCCAUCAAACGUUGGAUCAGCUGAUUGAGAUACACACUUCAGGAUGGAUGCUAUACUGUCACGAGGAUUAGAUGCCUAGAUACAGAUAGUGAGGGGACUUACUGUUUUGCAGAGUGACGAGGCGCUGGAUGCAAGCAGGUGGAGAUGAGAGCGAUGUGAAAUGCUCUGGAAGGAGAGGGCUAUGAGCUUUAGAAUGCUCAGAGGUGUUUCUCUGGUGUUGCUGGAGAAGGGAUAGAUGGUAUUUAUAGGGGGUGAGGAUGGGAGGUCAAUUGGUUUUCUUUAAUGUGACAUAAGAGCUACGCUCCCAUUUAAUUAUUACUCACUACUAUCUCAUAGUAGUAGCAAUAGUACAAUUGUACGCAUUUUAUUGCCUAUCA